rnacentral:lncRNA from 1 species
AAUGCAUUCACUGUAAUUAGAGAUUUGAAACCUGUGUUGUGUAAUUGGUUCUGCUACACUGAGCAGAAUGAGUGUCCUUUUUAAACAGAAGAAGAAGACAGAAAAACAAGUUAACUGAGAGAUCUGUGUAGUCUCCUGCCUGUCCUGCCAUCCCCUCCAGGUGACCGAUCCUUGCUCAUUUGCUCUCACUUCAGCAGUCCUGGGAGGAGCAAUCAGUUCCUGCAGUUUCUCCAAGCAGUUCACCUGACUUCUAGCGGGUUUCUGGGGAGGACCUGGAUCCAGCCUACCUUGAAUAAGAGCUGUGAGGGAGAUGGCUAUGACUUUUCUGGUUCCACCUAUCGUGGGAAUUCACCCUGGCUCCAUGAAUGUGUGACUAAUUUCCUGGACAGAAUCGUAAGGACUGAAAGGGACCCCUGGAGAUCAUUGUGUCCAACCCCCUGCUAAAGCAGUUCCCUACGGCAGGCCACACGGGAAAGCAUCCAGAUGGGUCUCGAAUGUCUCCAGAGAAGGAGAAUCCACAGCCUCUCUGGGCAGCCUGUUCCAGUGCUCUGUCAGCCUCACAGUAAUGAAAUUCCUCUUUGUCUUGGUGUGGAACUUACUGUGUUCCAGUUUCUGCGCAUUGCCCCUUGUUCUGUUGCUGUGCACCACCAAAAAGAGUCCAACUCCAUGGACUCGAUUCUCACACUUCAGUUAUUUAUAAACAGUGAUGAGAUCCCCUUUCAGUCUUCUCUUCUCCAGGCUGAACAGACCCAGGUCUCUCAGCUUUUCCUCGUAACGGAAAUGCUCCAGGCCCUUUAUCAUCUUUGUUGCCUUCCACUGAAUUCUUUUCCUGUUCUCUUCCUGCUUACAUUGAAAGCAGGACAGCACCAUGGGCCUGACCCUAGGGAUACAAUACUGAUAAGAGCACAGGGCCAUUCCUCAGAUCUAAGUGACGCUGAGCAAUUUCUCUGCUCCAGGUUUUCAGUGCAAAAAUCCAUGCUUACCAAUGCAGCUCAUUAAUGCCUGAGAGCAACCUUCAAGUUACCUGUAAUACUCUCUGAAUCAGACAUGC